rnacentral:lncRNA from 1 species
CGGGGUUGGGAGUGGGUCAGCAGGGUUACCCAUAGAUGAUUUGUGUUUUAGCUUAUGUCCCCCCUAUGGCUGUUAGUUAUGGUAGUUAUUGUAUGAUAUUAUUGCAUGCGAUUGUAUUUAUGUUCCGUAUGAUAAGAUAAUUAUUUACGCUAUUUACACUGGAGUUACUAAUGCUCUAUUGUUUUUGUUUUUGUCUUUGUUUUUGUUUUAGUGCUGUUUUUCCUUUUAUCCUAUGAGCCGGGGGUCGAUUGGAAACAGCCUCUCUGCCCUUUCGGGUAGGGGUAAGGCUUGUCUACAUAUUACCCUCCCCAGACCCCACCUGGUGGGAGUAUACUAAGUAGUAGUUGUUGUUGUUGUUGUUGUUGUUGUUGU